ACGUAUGGUGCAAGCGUUAUCCGGAUUUACUGGGUGUAAAGGGUGCGUAGGUGGCAAGGCAAGUCUGAAGUGAAAAUCCGGGGCUCAACCCCGGAACUGCUUUGGAAACUGUUUAGCUGGAGUACAGGAGAGGUAAGUGGAAUUCCUAGUGUAGCGGUGAAAUGCGUAGAUAUUAGGAGGAACACCAGUGGCGAAGGCGACUUACUGGACUGCUACUGACGCUGAGGCACGAAAGCGUGGGGAGCAAACAG
rnacentral:rRNA from 1 species